rnacentral:rRNA from 1 species
UACGUAGGGUGCAAGCGUUGUCCGGAAUUAUUGGGCGUAAAGAGCUCGUAGGCGGUUUGUCGCGUCUGCUGUGAAAACCCGAGGCUCAACCUCGGGCCUGCAGUGGGUACGGGCAGACUAGAGUGCGGUAGGGGAGAUUGGAAUUCCUGGUGUAGCGGUGGAAUGCGCAGAUAUCAGGAGGAACACCGAUGGCGAAGGCAGUUCUCUGGGCCGUAACUGACGCUGAGGAGCGAAAGCGUGGGGAGCGAACAGG